ACCUCUGUGGUUAUUUUUUUCUUAAGUUAUAGGUAAGUUAGUUGUUUUUUCAAUGAAAAAUGAAAGCUGGUAAUUUUCUGCCCACUUCUCAGGCUUCCCCCACAAACCAGGCAUAUGGGCACCAGCACAAGGGGCCGGGCCAGCCCUGGAAGAAAAGAGGUGGUCGGCCCAUAGGCUCUGCCCAUCUCACACACUCCACACUGAGGGUUGUGGAGACAGGUGCCUGGAACUGGACUUGGAAAGCAAAAAGCAAUACUUUCCCUUCUCGCAAUUCUCCAUUAAUUCCCCCACCUCUGCAUUACUUCCUCAUUUUCCAGCAGAAAUGAAGAGGUUGAAUGAAGACCUGGCACCUCUUUGCAGUGUGGCCAUACACAUGAUUAGAAGAGCAUUUAGACUAGGCUAAGUGGAACAUUGGGGGGGAAAAAAGAAAGGGCAAAGGAAAAAUGAGCAGGAUCUCCAAAGUGGGAAUGUUUUAACCAAUGUUUUACGUGACAACAUUUUGAAUAAACAAAAAUAUUUCUUUUA